GAAUUUUGGACAAUGGGCGAAAGCCGCAUCCAGCAAUGCCGCGUGCAGGAUGAAGGCCUUCGGGGUGUAAACUGCUUUUGUACGGAACGAAAAGCUUUGGGUUAAUACCCUGGAGUCAUGACGGUACCGUAAGACUAAGAACCGGCUAACUACGUGCCCGCAGCCGCGGUAAUACGUAGGGUGCACGCGUUAAUCGGAAGUACUGGGCGUAAAGCGUGCGCAGGCGGUUUUGUAAGACAGAGGUGGAAUCCCCGGGCUCAACCUGGGAACUGCCUUUGUGACUGCAAGGCUAGAGUACGGCAGAGGGGGGUGGAAGUCCGCGUGUAGCAGUGAAAUGCGUAGAUAUGCAGAGGAACACCGAUGGCGAAGGCAACCCCCUGGGCCUGUACUGACGCUCAUGCACGAAAGCGUGGGGAGCAAACA
rnacentral:rRNA from 1 species